rnacentral:rRNA from 1 species
UGACACAGGGAGGUAGUGACAAGAAAUAACAAUACAGGGCAAUACUGUCUUGUAAUUGGAAUGAGUAGAAUUUAAAUCCCUUUACGAGUACCAAUUGGAGGGCAAGUCUGGUGCCAGCAGCCGCGGUAAUUCCAGCUCCAAUAGCGUAUAUUAAAGUUGUUGCGGUUAAAAAGCUCGUAGUUGGAUUUCUGCCGAGGACGACCGGUCCGCCCUCUGGGUGAGUAUCUGGCUCGGCCUGGGCAUCUUCUUGGAGAACGUAGCUGCACUUGACUGUGUGGUGCGGUAUCCAGGACUUUUACUUUGAGGAAAUUAGAGUGUUUCAAGCAGGCUUACGCCUUGAAUACAUUAGCAUGGAAUAAUAAGAUAGGACCUCGGUUCUAUUUUGUUGGUUUCUAGAGCUGAGGUAAUGAUUAAUAGGGAUAGUUGGGGGCAUUCGUAUUUAACUGUCAGAGGUGAAAUUCUUGGAUUUGUUAAAGACGAACUACUGCGAAAGCAUUUGCCAAGGAUGUUUUCAUUGAUCAAGAACGAAAGUUAGGGGAUCGAAGACGAUCAGAUACCGUUCUAGUCUUAACCAUAAACCAUGCCGACUAGAGAUUGGAGGUCGUUAUCUAUACGACUCCUUCAGCACCUUAUGAGAAAUCAAAGUCUUUGGGUUCCGGGGGGAGUAUGGUCGCAAGGCUGAAACUUAAAGGAAUUGACGGAAGGGCACCACCAGGAGUGGAGCCUG